rnacentral:rRNA from 1 species
AGCGAACGCUGGCGGCAGGCCUAACACAUGCAAGUCGAACGGAUCCUUCGGGAUUAGUGGCGGACGGGUGAGUAACACGUGGGAACGUGCCCUUUGGUUCGGAACAACUCAGGGAAACUUGAGCUAAUACCGGAUGUGCCCUUCGGGGGAAAGAUUUAUCGCCAUUGGAGCGGCCCGCGUCUGAUUAGCUAGUUGGUGAGGUAAAGGCUCACCAAGGCGACGAUCAGUAGCGGGUCUGAGAGGAUGAUCAGCCACAUUGGGACUGAGACACGGCCCAAACUCCUACGGGAGGCAGCAGUGGGGAAUCUUGCGCAAUGGGCGAAAGCCUGACGCAGCCAUGCCGCGUGAAUGAUGAAGGUCUUAGGAUUGUAAAAUUCUUUCACUGGGGACGAUAAUGACGGUACCCGGAGAAGAAGCCCCGGCUAACUUCGUGCCAGCAGCCGCGGUAACAC